AGGUACCUCAGAUGAGUGGAAUUAUGCAGUAUUUGUCCUUUUGUGUGUACAACUAAUUUGACAGGCAGUAUGAUAAGGAACAAUCUGAAUGACACGUAAACAGGAGGGGGUAAAUUCCAAGCACAGCCUGAAUGAGAAGUACAACUCAUUUCCUGUAACCUAGAUGCCUUUUUAACACAUCUAUGCAGUCUCCAUGUGAAACCAGGUGCUGUUCCCAAAGGAGAAAACACUGCCCUCCAGUGGUCUUCAAUGAAGAAAUGGAAAUAGUUUCAGGUGGAAACCAGGCUUCUUGGAAGACUUCAAACUAUGCCAAAUGGUCUGAUUUCACCAUAGAGGUAGGCACUAGAGGACUAAAUUUACUUCUGUGUAAUUUUUGUUAGCUACAUUUUACAUGCAAAUGUCUAUACAACCAUGUUAAUGAAGUUAUAGAGAAGAAAAGAAAGUUGGCAUUCCCACUUUUGUUUUAUUCCAAAGCAACUUUUCAGUUGACUUGCUAUCAUUUUAAGCCAUUGUUGUUUAAUCAUAAGAAAACAGAAAAGUCUAACGAUGCAUUCGAAUUGGAUUGCAAGUCCAGAAAAACAAUAUGUUACUUCUAAAUAAAAUUUAGAUUUGA
ensembl:lncRNA PSMD14-DT PSMD14 divergent transcript